UACGUAGGGUGCAAGCGUUUGUCCGGAAUUAUUGGGCGUAAAGAGCUCGUAGGCGGUUUGUCGCGUCGAAUGUGAAAACCCGGGGGCUCAACCCCGGGCCUGCAUUCGAUACGGGCAGACUAGAGUUCGGUAGGGGAGUCUGGAAUUCCUGGUGUAGCGGUGAAAUGCGCAGAUAUCAGGAGGAACACCGGUGGCGAAGGCGGUUCUCUGGGCAUGUCCUGACGCUGAGGAGCGAAAGUGUGGGGAGCGAACAGG
rnacentral:rRNA from 1 species